rnacentral:rRNA from 1 species
UGGGGAAAUUGGACAAUGGGCGCAAGCCUGAUCCAGCCAUGCCGCGUGAGUGAUGAAGGCCUUAGGGUUGUAAAGCUCUUUCGCCGGUGAAGAUAAUGACGGUAACCGGAGAAGAAGCCCCGGCUAACUUCGUGCCAGCAGCCGCGGUAAUACGAAGGGGGCUAGCGUUACUCGGAAUCACUGGGCGUAAAGCGCACGUAGGCGGAUCGUUAAGUCAGGGGUGAAAUCCUGGAGCUCAACUCCAGAACUGCCCUUGAUACUGGCGAUCUCGAGUUCGAGAGAGGUUGGUGGAACUCCGAGUGUAGAAGGUGAAAUUCGUAGAUAUUCGGAAGAACACCAGUGGCGAAGGCGGCCAACUGGCUCGAUACUGACGCUGAGGUGCGAAAGCGUGGGGAACAAACAGGAUUAGAUACCCUGGUAGUCCACGCCCGUAAAACGAUGGAUGCUAGCCGUUGGGGGGUUUACCUCUCAGUGGCGCAGCUAACGCCUUAAGCAUCCCGCCUGGGGAGUACGGUCGCAAGAUUAAAACUCAAAGGAAUUGACGGGGUCAUAGCU